AAGGAAAUUGAGGAAGUAACCUCAGUUUUUUUUUUUUUUAAGUUUCCUAAUGAUUUUUACUUAUUUGUUACUUCCGUGUCAGUUUACCCCAUAAGUAUCCUAAAUGGUACAUUCCGACGGACCCCUGCCUAUGAAAGGGCGCAAAUACACAAACACAAUAAAUAAAGUUUUGUUGAAGCUGAAACUUUAUUUAAACAAAUCGUUACAUUUUUCAUUUAAGCUAUAGCUAGCGCGACUUCACUUGGUCGACCUAAAUUCCCCAGCAGAAGACACAGGAAUGCUGGUAUCCCACCUGGAGGAUACGAAUGUGGGCUGAAUCCUGCACCACUCAGGCUGAUGAAGCCACUUGGAUGAGCAGAGAAACGUUUUAAGGAGGGUGAAAUAAGCCUGAGCGGCUUCUACUGGGAUGCUGUCAGUGAGAAAUCCUCCAGAAUGGCUCUUUAACGCUUGAAGGUUACAGACCCCUGGACUAGUACAUAACAGAGCAAGGACAUGAGAUCGCGAUGUAUAACACCUGGGUUAUCAUCAAGAAAUAGGAACACUGCAUCCUGACUGUUAUAUACACCAGCAUGGCAGUGUAAGUAUUCAUUUAUAUCUGUUUCUGUAAUGUCCUCAGCUGUCAGUAAAUGGCUCAGUAUUCAAUAACCUGAUGUCUAAUCCAGAAACUCCCCUCCCCCAUUUCACUCUCACAUCCCUGCGUCCAAAGAAAUUCAUGCUUUGUAAAACAUUUAUUAAAGAGCACUGAGGUAUUCCUCAACAUAAAUAGUUUUUGUUUAUUAUUCAGAACCGCACGGUAUUUUAUGAUACAGAUGUCCAGGAGCGGAGAUAUCCACAAAUACGUGAAACCAUGAAUAAUGAAGCGCGAAUAAGCGACGGAACACUGUUUUCAUUUGUAUCUGUAUUUUUUAUCGGUGAUGAUGUCAUCUGUAAAAGGGUCAAUACCUUUGUAAUGGUUAGGGUCUGAGAGCAUAUGUGACAACAAUGGGGAGAGGUGCCUAGAUACAGGUCAAUAGAAAAAUAGAAGGGAUGCAGAGAGGUGGCUUUUGAUUAGUUGGACACUUCUAUGAACUCUAGAUCAAUGUUUCCCAAUCCUGGUUCUCUGGGAACAUUGUCCUGUGUCUUUUCCAUGCUACCCUGCUUAAGUAUACCUGAUUCCGUUCAUCACCAAGUUAUGCAGAAGCCUUAUAAUGACCUUCAUCAAGGAGAGGUGUGUUUGGGACGAAUAGGAUUGAAAAAAUGCGGGACAUUAUCUCUGGGGCAGCCUUGGAGCAGAGGUAGAGCGGUCUACAUCUGAUUGGAAGGUUGCAGCAAGGGUUCCCGCCUUACCCGUCCAUGUGUCCAAUGGUUCUUGGGCAAGACACAGGAAUCAUUGCUCCUGGUGGUUAUAGGUUGGCACUAGUGUUUCGCAGCUGACCCAUUAUCAGUGUGUGUAGGUGGAUGGGACUGUAGCACUUUGAGCUUUCUGAGAAGUUAGCAAAGUACUAUAUAAGUAUGCUAUUCUAGGUACUGAAGAGCUUCUGUCUUUUUAACCUAAAAAUCUAACUUUGGUAAGUUUUUUUGUAAAUGAUUUGGAAAUGGCAAAACCUGCUUUCUGCUCUUUAUGUAACCUCAUUAAUUAAUUUCUCUUGCAGCACUAUUUCUCCAAAAACCUUACAACUUUGGCACAAAUCGUAAAUGGUUGGUUAGCCCAUAUGGGGCUACA